rnacentral:rRNA from 1 species
GACGAACGCUGGCGGCGUGCUUAACACAUGCAAGUCGAACGGAAAGGCCCUGCUUUUGUGGGGUGCUCGAGUGGCGAACGGGUGAGUAACACGUGAGUAACCUGCCCUUGACUUUGGGAUAACUUCAGGAAACUGGGGCUAAUACCGGAUAGGAGCUCCUGCUGCAUGGUGGGGGUUGGAAAGUUUCGGCGGUUGGGGAUGGACUCGCGGCUUAUCAGCUUGUUGGUGGGGUAGUGGCUUACCAAGGCUUUGACGGGUAGCCGGCCUGAGAGGGUGACCGGCCACAUUGGGACUGAGAUACGGCCCAGACUCCUACGGGAGGCAGCAGUGGGGAAUAUUGCACAAUGGGCGGAAGCAUGAUGCAGCAACGCCGCGUGCGGGAUGACGGCCUUCGGGUUGUAAACCGCUUCCGCCUGUGACGAAGCGUGAGUGACGGUAAUGGGUAAAGAAGCACCGGCUAACUACGUG